GCCGGGGUAAUACGAAGGGGGCUAGCGUUGCUCGGAAUUACUGGGCGUAAAGGGCGCGUAGGCGGACAGUUAAGUUGGGGGUGAAAGCCCGGGGCUCAACCUCGGAAAUGCCUUCAAUACUGGCUGUCUUGAGUACGGGAGAGGUGAGUGGAACUCCGAGUGUAGAGGUGAAAUUCGUAGAUAUUCGGAAGAACACCAGUGGCGAAGGCGACUCACUGGCCCGUUACUGACGCUGAGGCGCGAAAGCGUGGGGAGCAAACAGGAUUAGAUACCCUGGUAGUCCACGCCGUAAACGAUGAGUGCUAGUUGUCGGCAUGCAUGCAUGUCGGUGACGCAGCUAACGCAUUAAGCACUCCGCCUGGGGAGUACGGUCGCAAGAUUAAAACUCAAAGGAAUUGGCGGGGGAGCACGGUCAUACUGUUUUCCUGAG
rnacentral:rRNA from 1 species